CAUGCACGUUUCUCUUUCUAUUAACAAAUCAUUGCGUGAUUUUGUAGUUAACAUUCAUCAUCUUCAACUUUUGUGGUUUUUUCCAUCUUCUUCAUCCAUCGCCGUAUCUGUCACCGAUUUUAUGCAGCCUAUCUCCAUACAUGGAAACCGUAAUAUGCCCUAAUUCGUUUGGAGACAAUCAACCAUCCUUCGAUGACGUUGUAGAGAAUACAGGAGCGUUGUAAUUUAGGAGUGGAGAAGGCUUUGAAGCUUAAGAGCAAGCGUUUGCGUCAAUGCAAGAAAUGCCAGGAGUGGCGUCACCACGAUUCAAGGAAUUGCAACAAAUUCAAAGAGAAAGAGCAACGACGGUC